CAAAAAAAAAAAAAAAAAAAAAAAAGUGGCGGUAACUCACUCAGGCUCAUUAACCUCUGACUCAAUCUCGAGGACCGAAUGUCACCCUCAGAGUCUCCCUGGCCUGUGUGAGUCUUCUGACAGUGGGAAAGCGUGCCUUCCUAGGAACACCAAGGUGCGUGUUCCAUGUCAGCCAGGGUCCCAUGUGUACCUUCCCCUCCUUCCUGCGGGGACCAGCAGAGGGCAGGGAGGUCGCACUCACCAGGUCUCACUUUCGUCUUUGAGGAAUGGUGCCUUCAGUCUGGCUACUGUAAAGGGAAGAAUGCACACAUUAGCUUCCCAUCUGUCCCAGAGCAGGCUGCACCACACACACCGGAAGUCCUCCGAGAGGCGAUCCCCUGCCAAAGCUUAAGAGCCCAUGCCGUUCCAUUUGGCAGAGGCAAAGCACUCUUCCCGGUUCCUCAGCCACUGGCCCAGGAAGACAGAGUCACAUUACUGAGGGGCAGGGUUGUCCUACAGCCCUAGACAUGCCCUCCCUCAGUAGGACACAGGACUUGUGUGGGGUUCUCAGGCUGCCAACCCGCAAGGAUGCCAUCUCUGUUAGAAAACUGGCUGAUGGAGUAACCAGGUCCUGACUGUUCCUAGUAAAAACAAGGUUGAAGUCCUACAAUGUGUCAUGUUGUUCUGAGGCCUUGGAAUCCUGAAGGACCUGAGAGCAUUGUCCAGGCAGAAGUCUCCACAAAGACUGUUUUGUGGGGAAAAAGCAGAGAAGACAAAGGACGAAGAAAGUGUGGUGACAGGUGUGGUGUCAGCACUGAAACCCAGCUCUGAGGCAUCCAGAUGCUGCUGCCAUCCCGGACCACUUUCUAGGACCAGGGCGAAGACACUGGACAUCCGCUUUUGUAAGUCAAAGUCAAUAUUAAAAUCAAGGUCAAUUUAAGCUGAUAUUCAAAACUAAAUGGGGAAGGGGGCUGGGGAGAAGUGUGCACUACUCUUGCAGAUUCGGCUCACAACUGCCUGUAACUCCAGCUCCAGGGGCUACACUCUGGUGCACAUACCUAUACGCAGACACAUCAUUAAACAAAAAUAAAAUCUUAAAAGAGCUAGGGAGUACAGAUAAUAUCCAAAACUCAUUCCAAAAUGAUUAUGUUAAAGCAAAGGAAAAUACCAUGUAUUUCAAUAAAGGGAUUUUUGUUUGUUCGUUUGUUUUGGGGUUCAAACUUAGGGUUUAGUGUGUGAUAAGCAAGUGAGCUAAAACCUUAGCUGGGAGGGGGAGAAUCUGACAUGUUUGGUUGUUUGUGCAUAAAGUCCUAGGACACCUGACAAUCUGCCAUACUUCUAGCAGGGACAGUCCAAUGGCUAGGGGGCAGGAGUUGGGAGUGGAAACUUUCUAUUGUGCAUCUUUUAAAAUCUUGAAUAUAAGCCUAUUAAACAGAAGCAAGUCCCCCACCCCACCACACACACGCACUCAAGCUUCAAGACUAGGUCCGUGGAAGGGCAGUGUUUAGCAGAGCCUCAGUGGGUCUGGAUGGGGCUUGAGGUUGUUAAGUUCUGCUCUGGACAACACGGAGAUCUGAAGAUUGAAUUCUUCCUCCAUUAAGAUAGAUAAAGACACUGUGGCCUUAAA